rnacentral:rRNA from 1 species
UACGAACUGUGCGAACGUUAUUCGGAAUCACUGGGCUUACAGGGUGCGUAGGCGGCUACUCAAGUCAGGUGUGAAAGCCCCCGGCUCAACCGGGGAACUGCGCUUGAAACUGGGUGGCUCGAGUCAGCUAGAGGUGCACGGAACUUCCAGUGGAGCGGUGAAAUGUGUUGAUAUUGGAAGGAACACCAGAGGCGUAAGCGGUGCACUGGGGCUGGUCUGACGCUGAGGCACGAAAGCCAGGGGAGCGAACGGG